rnacentral:rRNA from 1 species
AUCAUUAAUGAAUAAACUUGGUGGAUUGUCGCUGGCUUCUUAGGGAGCAUGUGCACGUCUGUCAUAUUUAUGUUUCCACCUGUGCACCUUCUGUAGACCUGGACACACACAACUUCUCUGAGGCAGCUCAGGCAUGAGGAUUGCAGGCAUUACAUGUCAGCUUUCCUUGACGUAUCCAGGCCUAUGUAUUUUCACAUACACCUAAUUAAUGUAUCAGAAUGUCAAUGAAAGGUCUUUGUACCUAUAACAAUUAUACAACUUUCAGCAACGGAUCUCUUGGCUCUCGCAUCGAUGAAGAACGCAGCGAAAUGCGAUAAGUAAUGUGAAUUGCAGAAUUCAGUGAAUCAUCGAAUCUUUGAACGCAUCUUGCGCUCCUUGGUAUUCCGAGGAGCAUGCCUGUUUGAGUGUCAUUAAAUUCUCAACCUUACCAUCUUUGCUGCAUGGUUUGGAUUGGACUUGGGGGUACUUUUUUGCAGGCUUCUACAAGUCAGCUCCCCUGAAAUACAUUAGCAGUGCCCUUGUGGUAUACAGCUAUUGGUGUGAUAACCUAUCUACGCCAUUAGCUGCCCAUAAUUAUUGGGGUUGUGCUGCUUCUAACUGUCUUCUUUACUGAGACAAAUUUGACCAUCUGGCCUCAAAUCAGGUAGGAC